rnacentral:tRNA from 1 species
UAACUCAGUUGGUAAAGAAUUUGCCUGCAAUGCAGGAGACCCAGGUUCAAUUCCUGG